AAAUGAGGUGUAAAAGGUCUGACCUUUUGUUCAUGUUACUACAGCUCUGUUGGGACCAUGAAAUCCCUGGGAAGGGACCUCUGGCAGUCAUCUGCUCCAUCAUCUGCCUCUCACAAGGAUCAGCUCGACUGCACUGUUCCUGGAGGUCACCCUUACAGACCCCCAGUGGCAGACUCCCUGGCCUCCCCAGGAAAUCUCGAUGUAAUUGAGCACUUCCUCAGCCAAAGCAUUAGCUGCCUGCUUCUGCUAAAGAGCUCCACUGGCUGAGGCAGCCUCACCCACGUCCGCUGCCAGGUGAGUAUAUUCCCCCAUGGGUUACGUGGGUAUCUCUUUAGCAGAAAUUUCAGGAAUUCUCACAAUAAGGGACCUUUCAGCAAGGGUCUGACUUAAAAACUAUCUAUGAAGGAGAUAGCUAUUCAGAUGAAUACAGAGCUAUCCUUCUCCUAUUCAUGAGGCUUUUUGGUCAUGACCCUUGAAAAUCAGUUUGCCUGUGUGUUUGGUGUUAGAUGAAUGCUAAAGUACUUUGCUGAAUUGAGCCCAAAUGUUCAUGUUUCUCUUCCCUGUGCAGCUGAAGCAAUAUUGGUUAAGGAAUUUGGACAGCAAAGGAAACCUUAAAUCGGAUGGCAAUCAGUCAUGGUCGUGCUGUUCCCAGUCAUGCUCUGUGGAGUCCAGAGGAUGUCAGCUUCAACACUAAUACUGAGGGAGGUGAACCUUGUCGGGAUCAGCCAAGGAUUUCAUCAGUGCAAGCAAGUCUGCUGCAAAGACAGCCUCUGCAUGCACCAACAUGCGUGCGGGUGAGGUGGCUGAUACUACACCAGGACAGAACUGUGCAAUCAGGAAAACACCAGCAUGACCAGAGAGAGAGACCACCAAGCAAACCAACAAUUUUUACUUUAAGCGUUUCAGUGCAUUUUGAGCUCCACUUACAUGUUUCUGACUUUGGGUCCACUUGGAUUCCCUUUUUCUAAUUUUAAACCUAUACAACCUUAUUAAUACGACGCAAUGUCUACGGUACAUAUACUGCAGAUGGAGAACACUGCGGUUCAGAUUCAUGCCACCUAAACUCCACUUAAGUUUCAGUGUUUGAAGUUUUCCACUGCUGAUUUGAAGCCUUUACUUGCGGCCAGUUAUUACAAAACUCAAGGCACAGAGGCAAAUCUGAAGUGUGAAACUAUCUUCAGCUCUCACUUGGAAGAUCACGCCAUAAUAAAGGCAGCACUAAAAAGAGCUGAAGAGCUAGGACAAGUGCCUUUGGGUCACACAAAACUGAUGCAGAAAUCAAAGACACACUAUAAUUUUCCUCUGUGAGGAGAUUUACUCUGAGAUAGAGAACAAGCAUAGGAAUCACAAACCCAAAUGGUCUAUGCAAAAUGUAUGAUCAAUCAAAAAAGGAGGGAAGGAAGCGAGAUCUGCAUGGGGUGAUGGAAGGCUCACAACAGAAAUUGCUGUUAUUUCCACCGUGAUUCUCCAAAGGUAGCUAUAAAAACCACUUACUUCUCUUAAAGUAAGAUGCAAUUUGUACCUGGCAUGGUUGUCGUAUCAGCCUAAGGUAUCUGCAAACUAUUGACUAGAGGACUCUGUACCUGUUACAGUGAUUCAUUGAAGCACUGCAAUUGCCAUCCUUUAUCAGAGUCUCUUGCAUCUGUAUUUCUCCUUUAAAACAGAGUUAUUCAAGCUAUUAAACCAAAGGCACUACAUUCAGCACAAAUCUAGAGACUAUCUUAUACUGUAAUACACCCAUGCCGACCCAUGAUAGAUAGACAGAUAGAUGGCUAGAUAGACAGACAGAUGUCACAAGACAACGAGUGAAUGAGUAAUUAAGCAAGCAAUGAACUUGAGAAAAGCCUGGAUACCUUCUCCGGUGUAUAUCUAUACAUGCAUAUUCAGAGUGUGUUUGUGCCUAUGCGUUUGUGAACACA